UGCCAGCCGCCGCGGUAAUACGAAGGUCCCAAGCGUUGUUCGGAAUCACUGGGCGUAAAGCGUGUGUAGGCGGCGUGGAAAGUCGGAUGUGAAAGCCUAGGGCUCAACCUUAGAACUGCAUUCGAUACUCCCAUGCUAGAGUAAUGGAGAGGCAACUAGAAUUCUCGGUGUAGCAGUGAAAUGCGUAGAUAUCGAGAGGAAUACCAACGGCGAAAGCAAGUUGCUGGACAUUUACUGACGCUCAGACACGAAGGCUAGGGGAGCGAAAGGGAUUAGAUA
rnacentral:rRNA from 1 species